AGAUUGAUGAUGACUCCCUCAACCACAUUCUUUGGAAAGCUGAACAAACUGAGAACUCACUACAGUCAUUCUCUUCAGUGCU